rnacentral:lncRNA from 1 species
UUCGACAAUCGACGAACGUUUGCCGAAACGACUAUUCCCGAAUGCAGGAAUGUUAUCUCAGGGAGGGCCGUCAUUUAGAGGACGUUAUUUUCAAAACGUGAGUUCUGUUUGCUUUUUUGUAAAUGGCAUACAUGUACCUUUUUCUGUGACAAUAAGGUUAUGUAACAACAAUUAUAUUAUUACUGUGCAUUUUCAAAAUCUCCCACUUCCUCGCGCCGCUCUGUAUAUCGUAACAUCGCUUGCUGUCGCUCUCAGUAGCUGAAAUACAAAUUAGUUUGUUUUCUGAAGCGACAAAGACAAAUUAAGAUGGCUUCCGAGUUCGAUUCAGAAGUUUUUAAUAAGCGAAAUUCGGAAAAGAAUCCUGUACUAUGAAACAUGAGAGAUAAAAAUUACGAUAAUCGGCAUUUAGUAGAUAAGUAAUGGGACGAUAUUUCAUUAUAGAUGCUAUAGAAGCGCCCUUCGUAGGACAGAUUGUCGCUUGUAGCGUAGCAUAGCGAAGCAUUGCGUUUGUAGUAUCGCAUCGUGUAGCUUCGUGUUGCUUACUCAUGGGACACGGCUUUAGAGAAGACCGCCGAUUUAAGCUCGUAUCCGAUUUUCUUCACUUGCGCGUCCGUUCGAGGGUAAGUUUAUUAAUUAAUAUAAUCCCAGAGAAGAAUGAAAAACAUAGUUAUGCGAUAGCGACGUCGCAAUUAUAUGUCUUAUGACAGUGAUUCUCAACCUUUUUGUAGCGGCGGAACACUUUUGGUACCAAUAGAAAAAUAGCGGAACACCAUCU